UGCAGAAUAAGCNCCGGCUAACUCUGUGCCAGCAGCCGCGGUAAUACAGAGGGUGCAAGCGUUAAUCGGAAUUACUGGGCGUAAAGCGAGCGUAGGUGGCUUGAUAAGUCAGAUGUGAAAUCCCCGGGCUUAACCUGGGAACUGCAUCUGAUACUGUUAAGCUAGAGUAGGUGAGAGGGAAGUAGAAUUCCAGGUGUAGCGGUGAAAUGCGUAGAGAUCUGGAGGAAUACCGAUGGCGAAGGCAGCUUCCUGGCAUCAUACUGACACUGAGGCUCGAAAGCGUGGGUAGCAAACAGGAUUAGAUACCCUGGUAGUCCACGCCGUAAACGAUGUCUACUAGUCGUUGGGUCCCUUGAGGACUUAGUGACGCAGCUAACGCAAUAAGUAGACCGCCUGGGGAGUACGGCCGCAAGGUUAAAACUCAAAUGAAUUGACGNGGGCCCGCACAAGCGGUGGAGCAUGUGGUUUAAUUCGAUGCAACGCGAAGAACCUUACCUGGUCUUGACAUAUCUAGAAUCCUGCAGAGAUGCGGGAGUGCCUUCGGGAAUUAGAAUACAGGUGCUGCAUGGCUGUCGUCAGCUCGUGUCGUGAGAUGUUGGGUUAAGUCCCGCAACGAGCGCAACCCUUGUCCUUAGUUACCAGCGGGUUAAGCCGGGAACUCUAAGGAUACUGCCAGUGACAAACUGGAGGAAGGCGGGGACGACGUCAAGUCNUCAUGGCCCUUACGACCAGGGCUACACACGUGCUACAAUGGUAGGUACAGAGGGCAGCUACACAGCGAUGUGAUNCGAAUCUCAAAAAGCCUAUCGUAGUCCAGAUUGGAGUCUGCAACUCGACUCCAUGAAGUAGGAAUCGCUAGUAAUCGCGGAUCAGAAUGCCGCGGUGAAUACGUUCCCGGGCCUUGUACACACCGCCCGUCACACCAUGGGAGUUGAUUGCACCAGAAGUGGUUA
rnacentral:rRNA from 1 species